rnacentral:rRNA from 1 species
AUUGAACGCUGGCGGCAUGCCUUACACAUGCAAGUCGAACGGCAGCACGGGUGCUUGCACCUGGUGGCGAGUGGCGAACGGGUGAGUAAUACAUCGGAACAUGUCCUGUAGUGGGGGAUAGCCCGGCGAAAGCCGGAUUAAUACCGCAUACGAUCUACGGAUGAAAGCGGGGGACCUUCGGGCCUCGCGCGAUAGGGUUGGCCGAUGGCGGAUUAGCUAGUUGGGGGGGUAAAGGCCUACCAAGGCGACGAGCAGUAGCUGGUCUGAGAGGACGACCAGCCACACUGGGGCUGAGACACGGCCCAGACUCCUACGGGAGGCAGCAGUGGGGAAUUUUGGACAAUGGGCGAAAGCCUGAUCCAGCAAUGCCGCGUGUGUGAAGAAGGCCUUCGGGUUGUAAAGCACUUUUGUCCGGAAAGAAAUCCUUGGCCCUAAUACGGUCGGGGGAUGACGGUACCGGAAGAAUAAGCACCGGCUAACUACGUG